rnacentral:rRNA from 1 species
GAUGAACGCUGGCGGCGUGCCUAAUACAUGCAAGUCGAGCGAACAGAUAAGGAGCUUGCUCCUUUGACGUUAGCGGCGGACGGGUGAGUAACACGUGGGUAACCUACCUAUAAGACUGGGAUAACUUCGGGAAACCGGAGCUAAUACCGGAUAACAUUUGGAACCGCAUGGUUCUAAAGUGAAAGAUGGUUUUGCUAUCACUUAUAGAUGGACCCGCGCCGGAUUAGCUAGUUGGUAAGGUAACGGCUUACCAAGGCAACGAUACGUAGCCGACCUGAGAGGGUGAUCGGCCACACUGGAACUGAGACACGGUCCAGACUCCUACGGGAGGCAGCAGUAGGGAAUCUUCCGCAAUGGGCGAAAGCCUGACGGAGCAACGCCGCGGGAGUGAUGAAGGGUUUCGGCUCGUAAAACGCUGUUAGUAGGGAAGAACAAACGUGUAAGUAACUGUGCACGUCUUGACGGUACCUAAUCAGAAAGCCACGGCUAACUACGUG